CCCUAGAGACCACCACCACGGCCACGGAUAGGACGAGCCACCACGUCUCGCUGUGGGCAGGCCGGCCGUCGGGGAGCGCAGUGGAGCUCCGUGUUCGGAGCGGGUCGAUCAAGACUUGGAAGUUUGGCUCGAGGGUUUUACCUACGAACCUCGCUUGGAGUGCCUCGCACAGGGGCGGCGUGCGGGGGCCGCAGGCGAGGACGCCCUCCCCAGCUCUGCCCUGCCGGCCAACCACGGCGCAUCACCGUUCGCGUCUCUGGCUUCUCCCCAAGCCGUCCAGGCACCUUGGCGGACCCCAAUGAACACACCAAAUGGGAGGCGUGCUCAUCUGUAAUGUCUCCAAGGCCAUGCGUGUACAACCCUCAGCAGCCCUG